GGUCUGGUGGUCUAGUGGUAUGAUUCCUCUUUCGGGUAGAGGAGGUCCCGGGUUCAAUCCCCGGCCAGACCC